UCUCCGUUGGUGAACCAGCGGAGGGAUCAUUACCGAGUGCAAACUCAUAACCCUUUGUGAACCUAUAUCUGUUGCUUCGGCGGCUCGCUCUCGGGCGAGCCCGCCGGUAAUAUCAGUAUCUCUGUUUGAACCCGACGAUACUUCUGAGUGUUCUUAGCGAACAGUUAAAACUUUUAACAACGGAUCUCUUGGCUCUAGCAUCGAUAAAGAACGCGC
rnacentral:misc_RNA from 1 species